AAAGAUUUUCACGACAACUAAACAGGUUUUAAGAAGCUUAUAACCAUGCCAUCGAUUGAAGCUCUAGCAAUGGCAGGCGUGGACUGUGGAAAGUGCGGCAUCAACCUCGCAGAGAGGGAACGUAGAGACUUGGAGAAGCCACCACUGUAUCUUUUAGCUGAAGAAAAUCCAGGCAAAGAAACGCAGGGAAAUGAAAAGGAUAAUGAGGUGACGGUAGAGAAAUGGGAAGCCAAGGCCAAGCUGGAAGCAUGGGCUAAACCAGUAGCUUCUUCGGUUAAGAAUGUCACUUCAAUUAUCAAUGCCACAGGUUAAUGUUGGAAACUAUUUUCUAAUUUUUAAAUGUGUAAGAAAAUGUCUACAAAGAUAUGAAAAUUAUAGGUAAAAUAUAUAUAUGUUGGAUGAGCAUCUAUAUUUGCAGGGAAUUGUCUUAUAUCUAGAGCUUUUACUAUAAGUUAAGAAAGGCUUGUAUUUUGAAGUUGCUUUUCAAUCUUAAUAGAAAAUAGAGAAACCAUAUUGCUAUAAAGAAAUACACAAUGCGAGUCUACUUUUUACGUAAUUCACAUGGCCUCUCUAGUCCCUUAAUAGCCUGCCGAUCCAUGCAAGUGUUUGCUUCGAUGAACAUGUAUGAUCCACUUUCUCUGAAAGAGCUUUUGUAUGGCUGCAAGAUAUACUAUCUCCAUAAUUAGGGUUGCUAUAUUCCACUAGCCAAUACUUAAAGAAUCCCACUCCUGCAAUUAUCUUCUUUGUCAUUUGCUCCGACCCACAGCUAAAUACCCCAGUAAUUAAAUCCCCUAGAGCUCAGUUUUCAUAGAUGAAGCUGUCCAAAUGUUCUUAGUAAAUUCUCCUAACCAGUCUCCAUUAUAAUCAGUAUGAGGGAGA
rnacentral:misc_RNA from 1 species